GACGAACGCUGGCGGCGUGCCUAACACAUGCAAGUCAAGGGGAAAGGUUUCUUCGGAGACCGAUUACACUGGCGGACGGGUGAGUAACGCGUAGGUAACCUGCCCUCAAGCUUGGGAUAACCUCUGGAAACGGGGGCUAAUACCGGAUGUGGUCUUGAUGUUGCAUAGCAUUAAGAUUAAAGCUGGGUUUCUAGCACUUGAGGAUGGGCCUGCGUUCCAUUAGCUAGUUGGUGAGGUAACGGCCCACCAAGGCGACGAUGGAUAGCUGGUCUGAGAGGAUGAUCAGCCACACUGGAACUGAGACACGGUCCAGACUCCUACGGGAGGCAGCAGUGGGGAAUAUUGGACAAUGGGCCACGAGCCUGAUCCAGCAAUUCUGUGUGGGUGAUGACGGUCUUAGGAUUGUAAAACCCUUUCAGUGGGGAAGAAGAAAGUGACAGUACCCACAGAAGAAGCACGGCUAACUACGUGCCAGCAGCCGCGGUAAAGUCGAU
rnacentral:rRNA from 1 species